rnacentral:tRNA from 1 species
UCUUUUUAAUUGACAUAGACCAAGUCCUCUAGUAAAAGAGGAUGAUGCAUCGGGAAUAGCC